CACCGUCCCACGCCUCAAGCCCCUCGCUGUGCCUUCAGGCAGGGAGACCCAGCGCCCGGGAACUGCCCCCGCCCCCGGUCUUCACAGCCCUGCGGCCUUAGGUCAACACAUUGUAUAGGCUGAUUCUACUGUGAAUGGAUAAUUGCCGGCUUAUACCAUCUUUAUGCUUCUUCAUCAGGGUGACAAUGAAGUUUAAAACGGAGCAUCCUUAUCAUAUACACAAGUUUUGUGGGGGCAGAGACUGUAAAUAUGGCAAUGCUAUAUUAGAAAUGGAAUCCCACAAAUGUAAUGAAUUAGAUUAUUGUAUAAUAAAGUAUUUCUCAUAAUAUUUUACUGUUGUACCUCUCAUCCUCCCUACAGCUUUCUAAUCUUUGUCAUCCCUUCCCAAUUUAGGGCCCAAACCUGCAGCUCUCACUCAAAUAUUACAUAAGUAGUCUCAAAGCCAAAAGAACUACUUACAUGAAUAAGAGAUGCAGAAUUGGGCCAGAGAUUCCCCUUUCUUGGGAAAGAGGCUUUAGCUAUCUGUUUAACACUACACACACAUAUGAACCUGUGGAAUUAAAAUAGUAUGAGCUUAAUCCUGGCCAUUAUGCCACAGGCUUGAGCAGAGGCCAUGAUGAAGCUCCUGCACCAUUGAGAGAGUAACAUCAGUGAGGUUCUCUCCUGGUGGUGUCCCUUGCAUAUAGGGGUAAAAUAUUUUGUUCCAUCUCAGGGAGCCAACCCCACUCCUUGGGCUAGCAUGGAGAAGGAUAGAGCCAUGACUCUUCCCCAUUUUUCAGUGUUCUUCUCCCCGUGGUGGGGAGAAGUCCAGAGACUUGUGGUUAGAGGCUCCUGCAGAGCCAUGCAUGGGGUCAUGGAGGCUUCUUACACACCCCUGAAUGGCUGCACAUGGUCUUCUCAUUAUUGGGUCCUUUAUGACCCCUGUGCUGUUCCUUAUU